AACGAACGCUGGCGGUGUGCCUCAUACAUGCAAGUCGUACGCGAAUCCUGCCGCAAGGCAGGGUUUGAGUGGCAAACGGGUGCGUAACACGUAGGUAAUCUUCCUUUGAGUUGGGGAUAAGCCCUCGAAAGGGGGUCUAAUACCGAAUAACACUUCUGGUUGGCAUCAACCGGAAAUUAAAGAUGGCCUCUGCUUGCAAGCUAUCGCUCGGAGAUGAGCCUGCGGCCGAUUAGUUAGUUGGCGGGAUAAAAGCCCACCAAGACUUCGAUCGGUAGCCGGUCUGAGAGGAUGUCCGGCCACACUGGGACUGAGAUACGGCCCAGACUCCUACGGGAGGCAGCAGUAGGGAAUAUUGCGCAAUGGCCGCAAGGCUGACGCAGCAACACCGCGUGGGGGAUGAAGGUUUUCGGAUCGUAAACCCCUGUCGAGAGGGAAGAAAGGUCGAAACGCGAAUACCGUUUUGGCUUGACGGUACCUUUAGAGGAAGUUCCGGCUAACUUCGUGCCAGCAGCCGCGGUAAUACGGGGGGAACGAGCGUUGUUCGGAAUUACUGGGUUUAAAGCGCGUGUAGGCGGGGAGGCAAGUCCGUUCGUGAAAUCCCCCGGCUCAACCGGGGAACUGCGUCGGAAACUGUCUUUCUAGAGUGCGGAAGAGGAAAGUGGAAUUCCAGGUGUAGCGGUGAAAUGCGUAGAUAUCUGGAAGAACGCCGGUGGCGAAGGCGGCUUUCUGGUCCGCAACUGACGCUGAGACGCGAAGGCUAGGGGAGCAAACAGGAUUAGAUACCCUGGUAGUCCUAGCGGUAAACGUUGUGCACUAGGUGUUGGGUUCCGACGAGGGGCUCAGUGCCGCAGCGAAAGCAUUAAGUGCACCACCUGGGGAGUACGGCCGCAAGGUUG
rnacentral:rRNA from 1 species